rnacentral:rRNA from 1 species
AUACGGAGGGUGCAAGCGUUGUUCGGAAUCACUGGGCGUAAAGGGCGCGCAGGCGGUUUGGUAAGUCAGAUGUGAAAGCCCAUGGCUCAACCAUGGAAGUGCAUUUGAAACUGUCAGACUUGAGUACUAGAGGGGAAAGUGGAAUUCCCGGUGUAGAGGUGAAAUUCGUAGAUAUCGGGAGGAAUACCGGUGGCGAAGGCGACUUUCUGGCUAGAUACUGACGCUGAGGCGCGAAAGCGUGGGGAGCAAACAGGAUUAGAUACCCCUGUAGUCC